rnacentral:rRNA from 1 species
AUUGAACGCUGGCGGCAUGCCUUACACAUGCAAGUCGAACGGCAGCGGACCUUCGGGUGCCGGCGAGUGGCGAACGGGUGAGUAAUAUAUCGGAACGUACCUUUCAGUGGGGGAUAACGUAGCGAAAGUUACGCUAAUACCGCAUAUUCUGUGAGCAGGAAAGCAGGGGAUCGCAAGACCUUGCGCUGAUUGAGCGGCCGAUAUCAGAUUAGCUAGUUGGUGAGGUAAAGGCUCGCCAAGGCGACGAUCUGUAGCGGGUCUGAGAGGAUGAUCCGCCACACUGGAACUGAGACACGGUCCAGACUCCUACGGGAGGCAGCAGUGGGGAAUAUUGGACAAUGGGGGCAACCCUGAUCCAGCCAUGCCGCGUGUGUGAAGAAGGCC